CACGACGAGUUGUUGCUCAGGCGCAUUGCCCUCGUGUUGCUCAGGGGCAUUGUCCUCUUGUUGCUCAGUCGAAUUGUCUUGCAUGAGCUCGUUGCAAUCAGCAAAGUACUGACUACCGUCGUUGAUCAUAUUUUGAAUCGCAUCUUCCAUAUAAUCAGGAUCAUCAUGAGGACAGUCGGCCAUUUCUAUGUCUGCAACCAUACAUAUAUAUAUUUCUAUAUAAGAUAAGAAAACAAUAAUACUAGAAUAAUACUAGGAUAAUAUACUAAAAAAGAUAAUACUAAAAAAUAAUACUAGAAUAAUAGUACAAACAAUAAUAUAUACAAAACACUAGAAAAUAAAAUAUAUAAUAGAGACUUAUAUACUACUACUAGUACUACUACAAAUGAAAGUGCUGGAGUGCUCUAAACUAAAAAAUAAUACUAGAAUCUUUUAAGCCAAGUAAUACGCUAGAAUAAUAUACUAAAAAUAAUACUAGAAUAAUAGUACAAACAAUAAUAUAUACAAAACACUAGAAAAUAAUAUAUAUAUUAGAGACUUAUAUACUACUACUAGUACUACUAC
rnacentral:lncRNA from 1 species